rnacentral:rRNA from 1 species
AACGAACGCUGGCGGCAUGCCUAACACAUGCAAGUCGAACGAGAUCUUCGGAUCUAGUGGCGCACGGGUGCGUAACGCGUGGGAAUCUGCCUUGGGGUUCGGAAUAACUCCCCGAAAGGGGUGCUAAUACCGGAUGAUAUCGAAAGAUCAAAGAUUUAUCGCCCUGGGAUGAGCCCGCGUAGGAUUAGCUAGUUGGUGUGGUAAAGGCGCACCAAGGCGACGAUCCUUAGCUGGUCUGAGAGGAUGAUCAGCCACACUGGGACUGAGACACGGCCCAGACUCCUACGGGAGGCAGCAGUGGGGAAUAUUGGACAAUGGGCGAAAGCCUGAUCCAGCAAUGCCGCGUGAGUGAUGAAGGCCUUAGGGUUGUAAAGCUCUUUUACCCGGGAUGAUAAUGACAGUACCGGGAGAAUAAGCUCCGGCUAACUCCGUGCCAGCCGCCGCCGUAA